GGCUGGUCCGAUGGUAGUGGGUUAUCAGAACUUAUUAACAUUAGUGUCACUAAAGUUGGUAUACAGCCCCCCACUCCUAAAUUUGACUGACUUAAA
ensembl:Y_RNA Y_RNA Y RNA